rnacentral:tRNA from 1 species
GAUCCUGUAGCUCAGUGGUAGAGCAUUUGACUUUUAAUCAAAGGGCCGUUGGUUCGAUCCCAACCAGGAUCA